rnacentral:tRNA from 3 species
CGGGAAGUAGCUCAGCUUGGUAGAGCACUUGGUUUGGGACCAAGGGGUCGCAGGUUCGAAUCCUGCCUUCCCGA